GACGAACGCUGGCGGCGUGCUUAACACAUGCCAGUCGAACGGAAAGGCCCUGCUUUUGUGGGGUGCUCGAGUGGCGAACGGGUGAGUAACACGUGAGUAACCUGCCCUUGACUUUGGGAUAACUUCAGGAAACUGGGGCUAAUACCGGAUAGGAGCUCCUGCUGCAUGGUGGGGGUUGGAACGUUUCGGCGGUUGGGGAUGGACUCGCGGCUUAUCAGCUUGUUGGUGGGGUAGUGGCUUACCAAGGCUUUGACGGGUAGCCGGCCUGGGAGGGUGACCGGCCACAUUGGGACUGAGAUACGGCCCAGACUCCUACGGGAGGCAGCAGUGGGGAAUAUUGCACAAUGGGCGGAAGCCUGAUGCAGCAACGCCGCGUGCGGGAUGACGGCCUUCGGGUUGUAAACCGCUUUCGCCUGUGACGAAGCGUGAGUGACGGUAAUGGGUAAAGAAGCACCGGCUAACUACGUG
rnacentral:rRNA from 1 species